UGUUAAUAAGAACAUGGUGAAGUUCAGCAAAAACACAAAGCCCAUACCCAGAGAGGCCCAAAACGAAAUAAGCAUAUGCAAUGUGAAUGGAAAUGGCUGAGUUGGAAGUGAUUCAGCAGCCACAUGGAAUUAAUGAGUCAAAGCUUAAAAAACACGUGAUUCAUGUGUUUAUAUGAACUCAGAGAAAAACAUUUUGAACGUGUCUCCCUUUUCUUAAGCUUGUUCCCCCUCCUCCGUGUUGGAGACCGUCUCCGAUGGCAGAGGCACCUCCAUAACCUCAAUCAAACACAUCACCUAAACCAUUUUACACCCUGAAUCCAGAAAUCACCAUAUCUAUGUCUAAUUCUUCUUCAUACGCUCUAAUCAAAACAAAGGAUGGAAGAACCCUAGGUCUUCAAACUGAAAUUAAACCAUGCCUAAUCAGAGUCAAAGCCCUAGAGAUUAGGGAUUUGACUCCCCUAGCCUUGAGCUACACGUUAGUAACCUCUACAUUGCGAAACGAUGAAGAGAAGAAGCGGAGACUCACUGGAACAGCGCCGACGUUAGGUGGAUUAUGUUGAUUGUUACUUGAUCAAAGGCCAUGCGGAAUAUGAAUACUAUGCUUGGAAUGGCUCUGUGAUUGUGUAUGGAAUUCAAAUUGUGUAUUGAAAUGGUUGUAAUUUUGUUGUAAUUUUGAAGUUGAUAUUGUUUGAAGUUGGAAUGUACGAUUAUGUAUGGUUAUGGAAUUUUGAAUAUAUGGCUUAUGUAUGCAAUUUGAAUUAAUGCUUGAA